rnacentral:rRNA from 1 species
AUUGAACGCUGGCGGCAGGCCUAACACAUGCAAGUCGCGCGAGCGGCGGACGGGUGAGUAAUGUCUGGGAACCUGCCUGAUGGAGGGGGAUAACUACUGGAAACGGUAGCUAAUACCGCAUACCAUCAGAUUUGCCCAGAUGGGAUUAGCUAGUAGGUGGGGUAACGGCUCACCUAGGCGACGAUCCCUCGCUGGUCUGAGAGGAUGACCAGCAAAACUGGAACUGAGACACGGUCCAGACUCCUACGGGAGGCAGCAGUGGGGAAUAUUGCACAAUGGGCGCAAGCCGGAUGCAGCCAUGCCGCGUGUAUGAAGAAGGCCUUCGGGUUGUAAAGGACUUUCAGAGGGGAGGCGUUACCCGCAGAAGAAGCACCGGCUAACUCCGUGCCAGCAGCCGCGGUAAUUC